rnacentral:lncRNA from 1 species
UAUUCCAAAGACUGCCAUCCAGGGCCAUGCAGCAAACAAGCAACAGGGAAAUAUCCCACUAUGCAAUCCUAUUUUGAGAUGAUAUUUAGGAUGAGAGAACAUGCAUUAGUUACCUACCAGCUUGACAGGAAUGGAUUUCCAAAUCUGACACACCAUAGCCUGAAUUCUCACCAGUUUGCUCCUGGAAAGGCCCGCUCAUGCAGCAUGAGCCCCUGCCACUCUUCUAAAUAAGCUUCCAGGCAUUACCUGCAUGCUGUGUUCCUGUGGUGGGAUGGCAGUAAUCUCUGCUAAGAUAAACGGGAGCUUCUGUGGAUAAAGCAUAAACGCAGUGAAGUGUGUGUGGCUGGAAGAUUUAAUGCCUCUACAGUGCUUAGAUACAAGUUGAGCUUGGAAUUCCAGAGGUAGAGCACUGCUGAUUGGAGACAU